rnacentral:lncRNA from 1 species
UUAGAAUUUCGUUGAGGCUUCUCCUUGUUACUUUUCCUUUGCAAACCAAACAUCAUAAACCUGAAAAAUCUCAACACAAAAGUUAGUAGAUAAAAACCUCACACUCCCAAGUGUUUGAUCCUCACCCACACAAGUGUUUCUCUCAGAUUUAGGUGAUCACACACAAGUUUUUACUCAAUGUUCUAAGAGCACAAAUCAAAGAAUCCCAAUGGGCAAAUCCAAGCAAACAAGGGAAUUUUUUCAAGAUAGAAAGAUAAGAGAUUUUUGAUUUUUGAAAUCAGUUUUAACCACCUCCAAGGCCGGAUUUCUCCUCGGCCAGCAGGCUUACUCUUCCACCACCAAACCACAAUUGAAAACUUUUGAUAUCUUUUUUUUUUUUGAUUAGAUCUUUCUUUCUUUUUUUUUCUUUUUAUAUAUGGAUGGUAAAGAGGAGCCCGGAUUCAAAGAAAGAUAGAAGAAGAAUUUUCUUUUUUUAUGAAGAAAAUGAUAGAUGAGAAAGAUGGAAUGAAAAGAGAUACCGGAAGAGUGGCUCUGAUAUCACUUGAUAGAACAAAAAUAAGGAUCACUCUUUCGGUAAGGUUGACAUGAACUCAGAUCCGAGAGGAUUGAGAACUGAUGGAUCGAGGGGUGACACUAAGGGUUGCGGAAUAGCCCAAAGAUACUACCAGACUUCGAUCGUUGCCGGAUGUGACGCACCAGUCCAACAAAAGAAGGAUCGAAACUUGGAGAUAACCUCACCAAGAAACUAAGAAGUGUUCUAUACAAAGAACAAUGAGAGUAAAAACUCAAAAGAAUGAAAGCAAAACGAAAUUAUCUUAUUCAGAUCUGAUGGUUACAUUAUAUAGAAGUUCU